rnacentral:lncRNA from 1 species
UUAUUCUUGUGUUAGUAUAUAGUGUGAAAUAUAUAUUGUUGAUACAAAGUAGCACCAAGAAGUGGUUUGAUUUGUAGAUAUCUUCUUGUUAUGACACUUUUGUAUUAUUUUAAGAUUCUAUUUUAAGACAGUAUAACGAUUGCUUUUUCUUCCUUAAUGAUAUACUAUCAGUUACUAUUCAGUCCUCUCUAUCAAACAUAAAUCUAGGCAUCAUCGUGCAUAUAGUUGCUCUAUCUUGCUGUUGGCAUUUUAUCACUACCG